rfam:Candidate divison MSBL1 archaeon SCGC-AAA259D18 AAA259D18_Contig_9, whole genome shotgun sequence.
GGGGCGGUAGUCUAGCCAGGUUGAGGACACCAGCUUCGGGACCUCGACGGCGGAAGAGCUGGAGAUCCGGGGUUCGAAUCCCCGCCGCCCCA